AGCAGCCGCGGUAAUUCCAGCUCCAAUAGCGUAUAUUAAAGUUGUUGCAGUUAAAAAGCUCGUAGUUGAAUUUCGGGACCAAUUUGUUGGUCGUGCCUCGGUACGUACUGGUAUUAUUGGUUUCUCCCUUCUGAAGAACCUCGAUGCCAUUAAUUUGGUGUCGUGGGGAAUCAGGACUGUUACUUUGAAAAAUUAGAGUGCUUAAAGCAAGCAUACGCUUGAAUACAUUAGCAUGGAAUAAUGAAAUAGGACGUUUGAUUCUAUUUUGUUGGUUUCUAGGAUCGACGUAAUGAUUAAUAGGGAUAGUUGGGGGCAUUAGUAUUCAAUUGUCAGAGGUGAAAUUCUUGGAUUUAUUGAAGACUAACUACUGCGAAAGCAUUUGCCAAGGAUGUUUUCAUUAAUCAAGAACGAAAGUUAGGGGAUCGAAGACGAUCAGAUACCGUCGUAGUCUUAACCA
rnacentral:rRNA from 1 species